UACGAAGGGGGCUAGCGUUGCUCGGAAUCACUGGGCGUAAAGCGCACGUAGGCGGAUUGUUAAGUCAGGGGUGAAAUCCUGGAGCUCAACUCCAGAACUGCCUUUGAUACUGGCGAGCUUCGAGUCCGGGAGAGGUGAGUGGAACUGCGAGUGUAGAGGUGAAAUUCGUAGAUAUUCGCAAGAACACCAGUGGCGAAGGCGGCUCACUGGCCCGGUACUGACGCUGAGGUGCGAAAGCGUGGGGAGCAAACGGG
rnacentral:rRNA from 1 species